rnacentral:rRNA from 1 species
CCUACGGGAGGCAGCAGUGAGGAAUAUUGCACAAUGGACGCAAGUCUGAUGCAGCAACGCCGCGUGGAGGAUGACGGUCUUUGGAUUGUAAACUCCUUUUCUCAGGGAAGAGAAUGGACGGUACCUGAGGAAUAAGUCACGGCUAACUACGUGCCAGCAGCCGCGGUAAUACGUAGGUGGCAAGCGUUAUCCGGAAUUACUGGGCGUAAAGCGCACGCAGGCGGUCUUUUAAGUUUGACGUGAAAGCUCCCGGCUUAACUGGGAGAGGUCGUUGAAAACUGGGAGACUUGAGGCAAUGAGAGGGGUGUAGAAUUCCAGGUGUAGUGGUGGAAUGCGUAGAUAUCUGGAGGAAUACCAGUGGCGAAAGCGGCACCCUAGCGUUGUUCUGACGCUCAUGUGCGAAAGCGUGGGGAGCGAACGGGAUUAGAUACCCUAGUAGU